rnacentral:lncRNA from 1 species
AAGCAGACUGUGUCAGGAUUCUGUGCAGGUGUACUUGUCUUUUGAACUUCUAAUUUGAUACCAAUUGUUGCCCCUGAGAGUCUGUACAGGUGUAUGAGGGGUGCACCAGUUAUAAUUUUUUUUUUUUUGCUUUUCAGAGUGUAGUGUUCUAAAUAGGUUCAACUGAUAAUGAAUUAGCUAGUUUGAUGCAGAUCAGUUUAAUCAAUACUAAAUUGACUGAUAUCCAGCCUAUUCUAGUUCUGAUUACAGUUAGCUAUCCUACUGACUGUUUGAAAGCUGAACUGUUGGACAAAUAACUGACUUGUGCGGAAUGUGGUGGCUGGUUACUCACUUUAUAAAAUCUUUCUAAGUCAGCUUUUCAGUUUAGUCAGUAUUCA